rnacentral:rRNA from 1 species
AAUUCGUUGCUCGGACGAGGCGGCGCGACUCGGCGCCCGGCUGAAAUGUUAAAAUAACGCAAAUGAUAACUCUAAGCGGUGGAUCACUCGGCUCGUGUGUCGAUGAAGAGCGCAGCCAGCUGCGUGAAUUAAUGUGAAUUGCAGGACACAUUGAA